GGGGAAUGACUUUUUUUUCUCUUUUUCAUCAAACUGCAGUUUUUGCAAGUUCCUGUAAUUUUUGCGAGUUACCGCAAUUUCAUCACAUAAAAUUGCACAAAUUUCCAGCAUAUUCCAUUGCAUUUUUUAAGAAAACGUGCUGCAUAAUCAAGGAUUAUUGCCCGCAACAAUCAC